rnacentral:lncRNA from 1 species
AAAGUGUAGUUUAUCCUAAAGCUAACCAAAGUGCGAAUCACGUGACAUAUGUUGGGAGUGAACUCGUGUUCAUUUAGUAGGCAGUCAGUGAAGCACGAGGAAGGACGCAAAGCGAAGCAGCGAGGAAGGACACAAAGUUAGGAAGAAAGGCUGAUGAGUCUACGCCUUCAUAACCCAAGUUUGUUCUGAUGUCUGCCAUCAUUCCAGUUGACUCUCACAGUGCUGAACUUUAACAGCUGUCAGAAUGGGAACCAGAACAACCCCAGUGAAAGCCAAGACAUUUUCAUUCUUAAAAUUAACCAAUGCAAAUCAUGCGACGCUUGUUGAGAGUGCAUGUUCAUUCAGCAGACAGUUGGUAAAGGACAAAAAAGUGAACACAAAGCAAGGAAGGAAGGCUUAAGAGCAGAGACUUUCAUUAUUUCCAUGUAUGGAUACUGAAAUGAUGACUGUCCUUGUGUAGAGAUUCAGACACUUUGUUCCCAAGGUGAUGUAAAAUGGUGUGAAGUGUUGUGUAUGUAUUCUGCCUUUACUCUACUAGACCACUACUGCAUGGAUCUUCAGAAUCUUUAAUUAGAACUUGAUGACACUGAGGAAAUAUUCUACAAUCUUCACUAUGGUUACUGUUGAAUUGUAAUUCCCAUGUAGCAAUUGCUCUACAGUGUAAAGUCAGCAUGUGUGUUUUUCUAAGAAAGGGACAAGGUGUGUCAAGGCGGAAGCUCUGCAUCUGGACAGGAUGGGAGUAGUUGUAUUCUAAUGGCUGUAAGCAUAAAAUCACCUGGCCUUGUGUGGAAGACAUCUAUGAAUCGAUCAAUCAGAUGUAUACCUCUAAUUUAAACUCCUGAAAAUCCCCAUGGUUGUGGGUGGUGCGGACAGAAUGUGAGCCAGGAAGUAGAUCUGUAAAAGCCCAGACAUUCCAUAUGUAGGAGUAUCUUCAUUCUUCAAUUGCAUCUUAGCUAAGAAGUUAACUUGGAUCUGCUUCACAGGGAGUAACUGAUUAUCAACUAAGUAGUAGGAUACAGUUUUCUGAUCAGAUGAAAUCGCUUUAUCUUACCUGGCUGGAAUUUAAAGAGCUGAGGCUACCAUCAGGAAAAUCUACCAUGUAAUAACGCUAACCCAGAACAUUGCUACUGAGUCUACCACACAGUAAUGCUGACAAGGAAAUUAAUACUUAAAUAACUAUUGAGUCUACCGGAUGCCUCCGUGGCGGAGUGGUUAUAAGGUCGCUGACUUCAAAUCACUUGCCCCUCAUCGAUGUGGAUUCGAGCCUCACUCGGGGCGUUGAAUUCUUCAUGUGAGGAAACCAUCCAGCUGGCUUACGGAAGGUCGGUGGUUCUACCCAGGU